rnacentral:tRNA from 29 species
GGGUCGUUAGCUCAGUUGGUAGAGCAGUUGACUUUUAAUCAAUUGGUCGCAGGUUCGAAUCCUGCACGCCCCACCA